rnacentral:rRNA from 1 species
AGUGAACGCUGGCGGCGUGCUUAACACAUGCAAGUCGAACGAGAACGGAAUAUAGCUUGCUAUAUUUGUCGGCUAAGUGGCGCACGGGUGAGUAAUGUAUAGAUAACCUGCCCUUAAGAAAGGAAUAACAGUUGGAAACGACUGCUAAUGCCCUAUAUGCCUUUAAUACAUAAGUAUGCAAGGGAAACGCUUUAGUGCUUAAGGAUGGGUCUGUAUGGUAUCAGCUUGUUGGUGAGGUAAUGGCUCACCAAGGCUAUGACGCCUAACUGGUUUGAGAGGAAGAUCAGUCACACUGGAACUGAGACACGGUCCAGACUCCUACGGGAGGCAGCAGUGGGGAAUAUUGCACAAUGGACGAAAGUCUGAUGCAGCAACGCCGCGUGGAGGAUGACACAUUUCGGUGCGUAAACUCCUUUUAUAUAGGAAGAUAAUGACGGUACUAUAUGAAUAAGCACCGGCUAACUCCGUGCCAGCCGCCGCGGUAAAAC